AAAGAGAAACUGGAAUGAUAGAUCUCUUUUUCUCAAAAUUUCGUUAAUAUGUAAUAAUAAGGUUCCUGAUGUAAUUUGUUUUUGUACAAAUUAUUUUAGAUUCUGGAGGUUCAAAUAAAAUAUAUAUUACAGCCAACGAUUAGGGGGGACAAGACUUGAUUACACAUUUUUCGUUGGUAACUUGACUCUUUUAUGAAAAGAAAACAUUAAGUUGAAGGUGCACGCUUGAGGCGCUCCUUUUUCAUGGUGCUUAGCAGCAGAUGAAAGUGUCAGAAGUUACCUAUUUUGUCACCAUUUGAGAAUAAGCUUGAAAGAAAGUUGUAACCCCAACUUUUCUAUCUUGCACUUGUUUGGACCAACAGCCAAACGGCUUAUCCCUUUUCUUUUCCCUUAUAAUCGGGAAUUUCCUUACUAGGAAGGCACCGAUACUAUAACUCCGAAUGAAAAAGACAUGCCAGUAAUAAAAAUAAUUGAUGUUAUGCGGAAUAUACUAUUCUUGGAUUAUUCACUGUUAACUAAAAGUUGGAGAAAUCACUCUGCACUGUCAAUCAUUGAAAAAAAGAACAUAUAAAAGGGCACAAAAUCGAGUCUUUUUUAAUGAGUUCUUGCUGAGGAAAAUUUAGUUAAUAUAUCAUUUACAUAAAACAUGCAUAUUAUUGUGUUGUACUUUCUUUAUUCAUUUUAAGCAGGAAUAAUUACAAGUAUUGCAACGCUAAUCAAAUCGAAAUAACAGCUGAAAAUUAAUAUGUCGAAGGGAAAGGUUUUGCUGGUUCUUUAUGAAGGUGGUAAGCAUGCUGAAGAGCAGGAAAAGUUAUUGGGGUGUAUUGAAAAUGAACUUGGUAUCAGAAAUUUCAUUGAAGAACAGGGAUACGAGUUGGUUACUACCAUUGACAAGGACCCUGAGCCAACCUCAACGGUAGACAGGGAGUUGAAAGACGCUGAAAUUGUCAUUACUACGCCCUUUUUCCCCGCCUACAUCUCGAGAAACAGGAUUGCAGAAGCUCCUAACCUGAAGCUCUGUGUAACCGCUGGCGUCGGUUCAGACCAUGUCGAUUUAGAAGCUGCAAAUGAACGGAAAAUCACGGUCACCGAAGUUACUGGUUCUAACGUCGUUUCUGUCGCAGAGCACGUUAUGGCCACAAUUUUGGUUUUGAUAAGAAACUAUAAUGGUGGUCAUCAAUAAGCAAUUAAUGGUGAGUGGGAUAUUGCCGGCGUGGCUAAAAAAUGAGUAUGAUCUGGAAGACAAAAUAAUUUCAACGGUAGGUGCCGGUAGAAUUGGAUAUAGGGUUCUGGAAAGAUUGGUCGCAUUUAAUCCGAAGAAGUUACUGUACUACGACUACCAGGAACUACCUGCGGAAGCAAUCAAUAGAUUGAACGAGGCCAGCAAGCUUUUCAAUGGCAGAGGUGAUAUUGUUCAGAGAGUAGAGAAAUUGGAGGAUAUGGUUGCUCAGUCAGAUGUUGUUACCAUCAACUGUCCAUUGCACAAGGACUCAAGGGGUUUAUUCAAUAAAAAGCUUAUUUCCCACAUGAAAGAUGGUGCAUACUUGGUGAAUACCGCUAGAGGUGCUAUUUGUGUCGCAGAAGAUGUUGCCGAGGCAGUCAAGUCUGGUAAAUUGGCUGGCUAUGGUGGUGAUGUCUGGGAUAAGCAACCAGCACCAAAAGACCAUCCCUGGAGGACUAUGGACAAUAAGGACCACGUGGGAAACGCAAUGACUGUUCAUAUCAGUGGCACAUCUCUGCAUGCUCAAAAGAGGUACGCUCAGGGAGUAAAGAACAUCCUAAAUAGUUACUUUUCCAAAAAGUUUGAUUACCGUCCACAGGAUAUUAUUGUGCAGAAUGGUUCUUAUGCCACCAGAGCUUAUGGACAGAAGAAAUAAGAGUGAUUAUGAGUAUUUGUGAGCAGAAGUUUUCCGGUCUCCUUUUGUUCUUGUUUUGGCGUAUUCUCCACUAUUCGUCCAUAGCACAUUUAUACCUUAGCUAAAUAUUUUGUAAAGCAAAAUUUUCGUUAUCUCUUA
rnacentral:sRNA from 1 species